AGCGUGGAUGGAGAAUAACGCGUGGCUGGAGGAACAAAUGAAAAAUGGAUAAGAUAAUACAACAAAAGGAUGAUCAAAUUAUGAAGCUGCAGGCCCAAUUAUUGGAACAACACAAAAUAUUAGAUAACAGCAAAGCUAAGGAUGCUCAAAUUUUGAGUCUACAAGCUCAGCUAGGGGGAAAAAACAAAUUGGAACGGAACAGUUUCCAAACAGUGAAAGAGGUUUUUCAAAACUCUUCCCUAACUGAACAUUAGGAUGAGUUGGCAUUAGGCGAACACAGGCAGUUAUUCAGUCCACCACCUGACAGUGUGUUAAAUUUAAAUUCUGCUAGUGCUGCACUAAAAGAAUCGUCAGUAAUAAGUCCAUGCAGCGAAGGAAUUGAACAAUUGUGGGACCGUAUUUGGGCCGAAAUUUGGGUGUGGUACUGAAACCGAGAUAUGGCACAAGUUAAACAUAAAACAUGGAUUAGGUUCUUUUCGGUUUUUUGUCUAUCGAAAAAGUUUUUUUAAUGCUAUUAUUUUGUAUUCACAGAAUUUUAGCAGGGGAUCAAGUCAAGUCUGGAAGUGUUACAGGAUGGAAGAGUCAGCCUACAGUUGAAAAACACUGAAAGUGCAUUACCAUUAAGGUAUGAGCUGCUUCUCUUGCUAAAGAACAACUUGUCCUUUACGUUCAGAGUGUUGGUGAAGCUGGGUACUUCUAUCUACCCAAAAAAAUUUAUCCAAUAGGAAAGGAUUUUCAUGUACUGGGAACAC